rnacentral:lncRNA from 1 species
UCACACUAGCUUAUGCUCCGAGCACAGCCCUCAGUUAUAUGAAGCAUGAUAAUAAGGAACUGUCGAUCUCAUUUAAGUUGUUAAGAAAAGUAGAUUCUUAUUUUAUUUACUGAUGUCUUAACAUAAAAGUUUUGUUCAUUGAGGCUGAGCCAUGGAAUUAUUCUCUCACAAGAGACCUUGAUGCUGGCCACAUAAAUGUUUUGCAACAAGAUUAUGAGGGAGAUUUUAGAAAAGAAGAUAGUGUAUUUGUUAUAUAGAAAAUCAUCAAGGGGUCUAACUAAUUGACCUCCCAUACCUUCUUAUAGACAACAUUUUGUCUUCCUUGAAAUUUAAAGAUAAACUGACAACAGGGAUAUGAACCACCUAAUUCAGAUAGAAAGGAGGGAGUUCUAGGAAGGAAGCGCGGAGAGUAUCUUGACUGUAUUUCUCAGUAUUAUGAUAUUCCUGAUUCUGAACGUUCAGACGAUGAGGUCAACAUGCUUCGCCAGGUAUUCAGAGCUCUAAUAUAUUCUUGUUUUGAUUGUUUGUGGAAACAGUAUUAUUCUUUUUAAUAGCUGCCAUUGUAUGUUUGUUAGAUUGCCGUUGAUUGUCCAAGAACUGUACCUGACGUUACAUUCUUCCAGCAACAGCAAGUUCAGAAAUCAUUGGAACGUAUUCUUUAUGCAUGGUAAAAUAUAUUUUUACCCAUUUAUUGGUCCCAAUAUUUUUAGUCUGGUGUUCUCUGUCAUGGAUAAUUUUCUUAGGUGAAAGAUGACUCUUAGCUGCUUGGCUAAGAAAGUCAUACAGCACAACUUCCCCAGUAUUAGGGUAUGUUAGUAUGUACCAUUGUGUACCCACUAGAUACUGGUACUUGAUAUGUAUCCAUUACUGGUAUGACAAUAAUUCAGGAGCGCCAUGCAUCAUAUGUUACACCGGUUUUAGAAGAUAGGACUUCUACUUGCUUUUUAAAUACUGUACUUAAUCUAGUCCUGGUACAAAAAAAGUUACCAGACGGUGUUAUUGCUCGUUAGUAGAAUUUGUUUGUUGCUAUAUCUCCUUUUAAGUAAACUGGUACAUACGAAUUCAACUGUCAACUGUUUAUGGUACUGAAUGACACUCUUGGUGAAUCUUAGAAGAGGCAUAGUCAUAUAUACCAUUCUAGAAAUGGUUUGCUUUUACUUAUAUAAUUUUUCAAUAUUUUGUCAGGGCCAUUCGACAUCCUGCAAGUGGAUAUGUCCAGGGGAUAAAUGAUCUCGUUACACCGUUUUUAGUUGUUUUUAUAUCAGAACACUUAGAAGGGGGUAUAGAUGAUUGGUCAAUGUCCGAUUUAUCUUCAGACAAAAUCUCUAAUGUAGAGGCUGACUGCUACUGGUGUUUGUCAAAGUUGCUUGACGGUAUGCAAGACCAUUACACAUUUGCUCAACCUGGAAUUCAGAGGCUUGUUUUUAAAUUGAAGGAAUUGGUCAGGAGGAUAGAUGGUACACUUUUUGCUCAGGACUUUUGUUUUCCUUCAAGCAUUGCUAUAAUUUCAUGAACUUAAAUGCCUCACCACCUAUUUAUGGAUUUCAUACCAUUCUAUUCUCAAGUUUUCAUUUUUCAUUUUUUAUUUUCAAAUAGUGUUCUUAAUUCUAAAUUCUAGUAAUAUUAAUAAUUAGUUUACGUUUUUAGAGUAAAAAUACUCUCAUUAAUAAUUAUUUUAAGUUUUUAGAGUAAAAGUGCUCUCAGAUAGUGUCGAAAGUUGAUCAUCAUCAUCUUAUUUAUCCAUUGGUUAAAGAUACAUAAUUCAUUGAUAUGAAUUAACAAACUUGAUCAUUAAUUUUGUUGCCGUGUUAUUAUUUGUAUAUCUUUGAAAUAUAAUCUGAUCUGAUGUGUCCUGUUGGAACUUUUGAACUGCGUCAGAGCCUAUUUCACAACAUAUAGAGGAUCAGGGACUUGAAUUUCUUCAAUUUGCUUUCCGGUGGUUCAACUGUCUUUUGAUCCGCGAGGUUUGCCCUGACAAUCUUUUCCUUUAUAAGCAGGUUAAUUUGAGUCAGCUAGGAUAAAGUUUCCAGAAGCACUUGUGGAAAUAGAAAUGUUAUGAACAUCUUAUAAUUACCGGGUUUUUUAAAUAAUAGUUUCUUGUAUAACCAUAUAAGUUAGAAAUUAGUUACACAGUUCAAUAUUUUCUGAUGAUUUUCUCGUAAUUUGUCAAUAAACAUAUACAAGAUUAAUUUUGGAGGUGAAGAACCAUACAAUUAUUUUAAUUGAGAAGCUUUUGUUAAGUUAAAAACUAAUCCAAACCCCUAUCUUUCUCAAGAACAACUUCAUAUGUGUCAAUAAUAAAGUUUCUGAAUGGUAAAAUGGACUAUGACAAACAUGAAUUGAUUUAUGCUCUUACUAAGGCUGAUAUCUGAUUUCAUAACUAGAUACCAUUCGAUCUCAUCACACGCCUUUGGGACACAUAUCUAGCUGAAGGAGACGCCUUGCCAGACUUCCUUGUAUAUAUAUUUGCCAGUUUCCUUCUAACGGUGAGCUAGCUUACUUUGGCCUUUCCACUAAAAUAAUAUAUUUGAAUUAAAUUUCAUCUCCUAGUCAUGCUGUUCAGGAAUGGUACUUGUUGGUCAUGUUAAUGUGUAGUUUUUACCUCUUCCGGUACAUACCGUCUGAUAAUGCUGAGCCUGAUUUCCAGUUUUGUUCGCAAUAAAACAAACUUGUCGUUUGCUUUUGCACCACUUUUGCUAUUUAAGAUAAAUGGUUUUCGAAGAGAUUUCCUUUUGUACCGGGAUGUUUUCAACGUGCAUUGAAGUUGCAUAAUGAAGAAUGCAAUUCUAGCAUUUAUGGAUGUACUUGCAUUCCCUAAUUGUCUACGUCCAGUUCGACGUGCAUGCACAUGCACUUGUUAAUAAUUUCUUUUUUCCCUGCUGUAUUUUGUAUGGUUGCUUAGAUUAUUUACACUCUCUUCUUACUCAUAUCAAUGCUUAACCCAUAGAAACUAGAAACUGAAUGUAUAUAUAUAUUUUUCCUUUAGUGGUCAGACAAACUCCAGAGGUUGGAAUUCCAGGAGUUGGUAAUGUUCCUUCAACACCUUCCAACUCAGAACUGGACUCACCAGGACCUCGAGAUGGUGCUUUCCCGGGCAUUUAUGUGGCACAGCAUGUUCAACAACUCUCCAAGCCAUUUCGCUAGCUGAGCUGGCAAUUGUGGUUUUCUGAAUUUAGUUCUCCUUCAAAUUAUACCUCUCUCUGCUUUCCAUCAGUGUUUCUUGCUUAGUGUAUGCCGUUUUUUUGUCAAUGCACGAUUUUUUCAACCAAUUGAGUGAUUUGUAAAGGAGAGACAAAUAACUGAUAGUCUCAAUUUUGUUGUAUUUAUUAUUUAUAUAUUUUCCAGAAUAGCAUCAAAUACCCAGUUUGUAUCCACAAGUGUGUUCUUUUCUAAUGUAUGCCUGUACAAAUAUUAUAAUGUUUGGUUGGAGAGAAUUGAAUAUGCUAACAUAGAUGAAUCAAACACGAUGAUUUCUCACCAAAUGCAAUACAUGCUCAACAAAACUAUAAUAUGUUCCCUGUUCUCUGGUUAUUAAUAUGGUUGGAAGUUCCACCAUUUGACCAAAAGCUCGGGUAUAAUAAUAAAUCAUAUUCCUCUCGGAGACCAGAGAAUCCAUGAUAUACUAUCGAUGGCAGGUUUAAUACCAUUUUAGGUAUGAAAAUUAUACGCAAUGAAGAUUCAGCUUCAAUAUACUUGACAUCAUAAACUUCAAACAAUAUUACUCUACAUAGCUAUAAGUUGUAAGCGUAUUCCUCAAAAGAAUCAACAAUUGUAUAAGAUAGUGAUGGUGAUAGAUUGAAUUGGGUUGACUGCGUUCAGUCAAGGUGGAAUGAACAACCUAAGUUUAUUCCUCAUCCACGUCAAGUCCCGGUACAUAUUCCAAACUUACAUCAAAUACUACUGGACUGUUUGGAGCCACCCUUGGUCUUCCUGGUGCAGAAUUAAGGCCUUUUGGGAAUGCCAACUGCCAAAAACAAAAACAUAUAGCCAACAAUUAGAAUUAAUUAUUAAUCCAAUCUAUAAAUAAAUUGUCAGCAUUUUGCAAUUGUUCUGUAACAUGCAUACACCUUUUCAAUCAAAAGUGAACUAAUUUUAAACACAAAUAUUAUCCCUUUUUAAGACUUUUAUAUAGCUUAUCAAUCUAAUUGUUUCAUAAAAUGAUUAAUCUGAUCCACAGAGUGACUGAGAAACAUACACCAGCUUUAUGUUGGAUAAAAACACAGAUUUCAGUUUAAUGUUUUGAAUCUUGCUAUGCUUGGAGAUGUUUCUGGCAUACAUGUAAAAGUAGGGUGGAGGGAAUCUACUGUCAACAAUGAAGAAAGAAGCUUACCGAUCCAGGUAUGUACAGCCGACGUUUCCCUCCUACUUUCAUGCUCAAAAGACCUUCAUCAAGUCCUUUUAUCACCUGUUAUCCCAUCACGUUGAUAAUCAGUUAGUCUUUGAAAGGACUAUCAAACACCAAGGCCUCAAAAUUACUGUACUUCAAUCAACAUUUAGUAUGAUUCUUGAGCUUAAAAAACACUCAAAGCAACAUUUAGGGUUUACCUGACCAGAUCCAACACGAAAAAUGUAAAGCUGGCCUUUCUCCAAUGAACUGUAAAAUUGAAAGGGGGGGGAGAACAGCACAUAAUGCACAUUAGUCAGGGUCAUACUCAGAAUCAGAAGCCAAAAUCAGUGAGCAUUGUAAUCAAGGGUUCAAAGAGGACAGCAUCAAAAACCAAAAUCAGAAGGUGACAGAAAACUGAAAAAAAGGAACUAUCAAGUUAAAACACCAAAGCUUUCCAAUAGUACUUGCUGUUUUCUAAAUGUGGCCAACUGUAGAAUAUUGUUAAUAGCACAAUUCAACAUCUUAUUAGGAGAGAAGAAAUUAACAUGAGUGAAGUUUGCUUAUAUUACACUCCGAAGGAAGUUCAAUUCAAACAAUACUUAUCAUAUAUAUACAACAGCAAACAUGACUAGCUGAUCUUGUAAUUUAAGGACUAACGAAAGAGCGAUAGAACUUUGUAAUUGGCGGAUACCUAUCAAAUAUUUGUCCAGAUGGAACCAUUGCAACAUAAUUGGCAGCAACCUAUCAGAAAGGCACAUGAAAAUGUAGUCAGUAUUGCUUUAUUGAGAACAAUAUCAAAUGCUGACAGAGGAAUUUACUACAGACAAAAGUCAUCUUUUAAGUUUAUUCAAGGUUAAAAUGUGAAUAAUAUAUUAAUCAUUUAUAAGGUAACUUCAAACAUUAUCUAGUUUAGAUUGAAAAGGAAGCAAAGAUGGGCACAUUGCAUUUGCAGAGAGUCAGAGACAUUUGCUAUCGUGAAGAACUCUGUUGAUAGCAAUCUCAUAUCAUUAUCAGGCACUGAAAUCAUCAAUUUUUGUUCAGUAUUUUCUACCUAGAAGGUGAAAAUAAAUAUAUAUUUAGAGUAUCAUGCCAUUUCCUAGGGAAAAAAGAUUCAGUUGCUUUCAUUCCUAAGAUACAAAUUAAGUAUUUGGGCAUUAAUCUCAUUCGAAAUUAGCAUUGACUGCGUUUUUGAAAUGGUGGAGACGGGCAUACAAGGGAAACUGAACAGGUCAGAAGAAUUUACAUACCUGAAAUCCAACUGGUGGACUAGGGCCCUGCCCAACUUUAAUAUCCUUGUAUUGCAAACCUGAUUCAGUAGUUACCAUAGGUACCUUCAUGUAUAAAUUACUCAGUGUAAGUCAUUAUCAUUAACUAUCGAUAUUAAUGGUUAUCUUGACAGAAUUAGACACUGCACAAGUAUAUUAGUUCUUAAAUUUCAUGCAACUGAACAGAGCUUCUGUCAGGGGAUUUUUGGUUACAACAAUUUUUUUUUUGAAAAGGUGAUUACAACAAAAUUUGAACCAAAAUGACAGCAUAGAACGAGUCUUGUGAUGAUCUCUAUUGCACUAGCACCAGUUUGUGAAGAACCUUAUAAUAGAAGUCCUUUUGUCAAAUCUUCAAGACUAACAACUUCAAUGACAUUACAAUGAUAUCUAAUGAAAAUUACAUUGAAGUUUCAAGUUCCUAAUUUUUUGAACUGGAAAACAUUUUAGUCACAUAUAGUCAACUUUUCAAAUUUUGCUGCCUAAUUUUAGUAGAUAAAUAUUAAAGAUGACGCAACUGCACGGAAUGUGAAUGCAUUCUGAGCAAUACAGAGACAUUAAUCAUAGGUAAGGCAUAGAAAGGGAACUAUGUAAUCUCACCAUACAUUUUCAAGCUCUUUCUCACAAGUUCCAUCACAUAAUUUUGGUUUUUCUUCUGGUGGUAAACCAGCUCCAUUGGCAGCAUCAAAUGAAUGGAUGAAGAGUGUAGAGACUCCUAAUGCUAAUCCAAGAAAGUCUCUACGUGAAUUGGUAUUAAAAAUAUCAUUAGCAGUGCAUUCCCUUGUCUCUGUGGACUUGACUUUAAGAGCAAAUCUUCUAAGUUUCUCAACAGAAAUGCUUUGAGAAGCAGUAAGAGAAGGAAUUUUACCACAAGUAGAAUCUAUAAAAAAAAGGAACAAAUCAAAUAUAAAUUAACAGUGAACUUGAUUACAGCAAUCACACAAUAUUAUGCAUUUUUGGACAGUGAGGAAGAGAGAAAGUGAAAGGACUUACAAAGUGGAAGCAGAAGAGGGGAAGCCAUGCUAGGCAUAUCCAAGGAUGUAAUAUUGUGUCAUGUGGUGAUGAUGUUAUUGUUUGCAAAUGGAACGGAUAAACCAAAUCUAGUUUGUCUAGUUUGAACAAUAAACAUUGGAACAUUGGAUUGUGGUGUGUGUUUUUUCAGAGCCAAAGACACUCUUCCACGUGGCAGAUAGAUAAAUCAUUCAAAGAGUCAUGGUUAGAGCUUGGACAGUUGCUAUCCGCACAUCCAUUUAUUUAAUACACUUCCUAGUAAAAAAAAUAAUUUUUCCCAAAAAAAAAUACACCUAGUAAAAAACUUUUGACUAAAUUCAUAUUUCUUUUUAAAAAUUAAGCUUGGUUUGACUAAACUUAUGUAGAUUAGGUAAAGGACUACUUCAUAGCUCCUAAACUCAUAUUUCUUUUUUAAAAAGUAAGUUUGGUUUGACUAAAAUUAAUCAAGUUUAUGUUUCGAAAAUAUAAUAUUUUGUUAAUUCAGUGGCCAUUUUAAAGUAUAUUGAUAAUUCAGUGGCUCAAUCAUCUUUCAUUUUAAAUUUCAGGCAUGUUGCCUUAUUCCUUAAGGCAUCACAUUCACAACAUUGCUUGCCACCUUUUCUGUUUAGUUUGCAGAUCAUCAACCAUUAGUUCAUCAAUUCCCUCUCAUCCAUCCAUGUCUUCCUUCUAUAACGAAGACUCAUUUUCCACUGAUUGCAGAUCAAGGAAGAGUCCGUUGAAAAUAUUUAGAAGCUAUGAAGUGUUCUUAAGUUAUAGAGGGGAGGACACUCGUGCUUCUUUCACCGCACAUCUCAAUGCUUCUCUUCUAAAUGCUGGAAUCAACGUUUUUAAGGACGAUGAUUCGAUUUACAAGGGUGCUCGCAUUUCAAAAUCGCUGCCUGAAGCAAUCGAACAAUCUCGAAUUGCUGUGGUUGUUUUUUCAAAGCAUUACGCGGAUUCAAAAUGGUGUUUGAAUGAGUUGGUGAAGAUAAUGAAGUGUCAUAGAGCCAUAAGGCAGAUUGUUUUGCCAGUGUUCUAUGAUGUAGAUCCAUUGGAAGUUCGCCACCAAAAAAAAAAGUUUGGUAAAGCAUUUCAAAAUAUUUUGACUAUGCUUUCAAAUCAGACGCAAGGAGAAGGACAUUAUAAAGAAGAGUCGUCACUUCGGAUGCUGAGAAGGAACUGGACAACCGCACUUCAUGAGGCAGCAGGGCUUGCAGGGUUUGUAGUGCUCCAUUUCAUGUAAUUCAACUUAAUUCAAGAAGUAUUCAUUCUAGCAAACGAUUUUGAAAGAAAAAAAAAGUUAUCUAUUUGAUUAUAUAUAUUUUAUUUUAAUUUUUUUAUCAAAUUUCCCCAUACCUUUGGAAAAAUGUUAUUUUGACAUGGACACCGUGUGCACUUUUCAUCAUUAUUACAUCGUUAAUGUAGUUCAAAUACAAUGUUAAUUACUUUUAAUAGAUGAUCCUAUAUUUGGGUUUUUAACAGGAAUGAAAGUGAGGCUAUCAAGGAUAUUGUUGAAAAAAUCGUGCGUUUGCUAGACAAGACACACUUGCUUGUUGCUAAUAAUCCAGUGGGAGUUGAACCUCGAGUGGAAAAUAUGAUUCAACUGCUAGACGAAAAAAUACCAAACCAUACUAGUGAGCUGCUAGGCUGCUACCCUUCCAACAAUGGCAAAAUCAAUUUCAAUUGAUAGACUACCAAGAAUCAAAAGAUGUUCUACUUCUAGGGAUGUGGGGUAUGGGAGGGAUUGGCAAAACCACCAUUGCAAAAGCCAUUUACAAUAAAAUUGGCCAAUUAUGAAUGUAGGAGCUUUUUGGCAAAUAUUAGAGAAGUCUGGGAACAAAAUGUUGGUCAGGUGUCGUUACAAGAACAGAUUCUCUUUGAUGUUUGCAAAGAAACGACGACCAAGAUUCAAAAUAUUGAGGAAGGAAAAAAUAAAUUAAAGGAUAGACUCAGCCAAAAAAAAGUACUUGAUGAUGUGAAUACAUUGGAUCAAUUGAAUGCUUUGUGUGGACGUCGUCAAUGGUUUGGUUCGGGUAGUAGAAUAGUCAUCACCACUAGAGAUAUGAACAUUCUUAGAGGAUAUAGAGUUGAUCAAAUAUACACAAUGAAAGAAAUGUGUGAAAGUGAAUCAAUUGAGCUUUUUAGCUGGCAUGCAUUCAAGCAAGCAAGCCCUAAAGAUGAUUUUGCUGAAAUUUCCAGAAAUGUAAUUGAGUAUUCUGGAGGAUUGCCGCUAGCUCUAGAAGUGCUUGGGUCAUAUUUGUUUGAUAGGGGGGGGUAACAGAAUGGGAGAAUGUAUUGGAAAAACUCAAAAGAAUUCCUAACGGUCAAGUACAAAAGAAGUUGAAAAUAAGCUAUGAUGCUCUAAAUGAUGAUACUCAGGAAGAUAUAUUCCUCAACAUAGCUUGUUUCUUUAUUGGGUUGGUCCGAAAUAAUGUAAUACAUAUAUUGAAUGGUUGUGAACUUUAUGCAGAAAUUGGAAUAAACGUCCUUGUUGAGCGAAGCCUUGUGACUAUUGAUGAAUUGGAACAGACUUGGAAUGCAUGAUUUGUUGCGAGAAUGAUGAAAAAAUUAUAUUAUUAUAUUGUUAAAUAAAAAUUGAGUCUGUUUUCACAAUUACAGAUUAUGAAUAACGAUGGCCAUUAUGGUGCUUUCCUACGCCAUGAUAAUUAUCCAAAUUGGUUGACCUUGUACAGUGAAGGUUCUUCAGUAAUUUUUGAAGUACCUCGAGUGGAAGGGCGUGUCUUGAAAACAAUGAUUUGCAUUGUUGAUUCUUGGACCUAUGCUAACAUAGCAUCAUAUUCAGAUGGCCUUCAAAAUGUCAUGGUGAAAAAUUACACCAAGUCCACCAUUCAGGUCUACAAGAGAGAGGCAUUAGUUUCCUUUGAAAACGAGGAGGGGCAUAUAGUAGUAUCAAGUAUAGAACCUGGAAACAAAGUGGAGGUUGUUUUUGUUUUUGAGUGGCGCAGUUUCAAAGUGAAGAAUACAACAGUUUAUCUCGUAUACGAUGAACUAAUUGGCGAAAUAAUGGAGCAAAGUCAAACAUCAGAAGAAAAUGCUAUUGUUUUUAUUGGUGAUGAAAAUGAAUCUAGCUCUUCAGAAGUGGAACACAUGGACGAAAAUAUUAGCACUGCUAGGUGUUGUGGAUUGAUCAAAUAUAGUUUCAGACAGUGGAUUGCAAAUUUCUUGUGUAGAUUAGUGGAGUGCUGGGGGUAGUCAAAUUGUUGGACUUGAUCUUGAUUCUGAAGCUGUGAUCUUAGUGCUUUAAUGUUGCCAUUGUAUUUGUUGGUCUUUAUGACUCAUGUUAGCCUACAAAAGAUGUAUUUAUUGAUCAUAUCAAUUGUAAAAUAUUUCAAUUUUUUUUUAUUAUGUCAAUUGAAUGGAAAGAGUUUGAUGGAUGCUCUUUGAAGUACAUAUACAAAAUGACAAAGGUGAGAGUGUAUUUGAUUUGGAUUACCAGGAUAAAUGUAAAAUAAAAUCAAGGAGUCAGCUUAUGAUCAUAAGAAAAGCCUUUCAAUAUGAUGCAAAUUUGGCUUCCUUAGUCUCAAUGUUUACAUUUCCAACUUAUAUUGCUCAAUUUGGGAUUCUUUGUUCUUUUUUGGAAUAUUAAAAUUGUUGUAUGUAAGACUUAACUCAACUGCCAAUACCAAUAUCGUUAGGUUGGACACCUCCAUUAAUGUUCGAACACGAGAACUCACAAUUAUGCGUAUGAGUUUCCGUUGAUACUUACAUAUAGGGAUAAAAUAACAUUAAAUUGUUUUUAGAACUUACAUAUAGGAAAUUGUUUAUCUUGGAAGAUGAAAAACUAAAGGUUAAAAUUAAUCUUCCAAGAAAUAUAAAUGAAGUGUAUGUUAAAGAAAUGUAUUAUAUAGUUAACUAUGAAGUAUUCUAAGUUGAUAAAAAAUUUCUUUCCUACCAGUUCAUCAUACAAAAAUAUUAUAAUUGUUUAUCUCGCAAUUAUAAACACUCUCUCAAACAUAAGCACUUAUUAUAAAUGAAAUAUAAGUUGAUAAAAACAUAAUCCUCCAAGAAUAAUUAACAAAAUUAAUGAAGUGUAUGUUUAAUUUUCUUUUGUAUAUAGGAUUUUUUUUUUGAAAGAAGACUUAUAUUAAGGAUGAAGGUAAUAUAUUUUAUUUGCAUCUUUUUUGUUCAUUUCGAUCUAUUAAACUAAUUUUAUCAUUUUGUAAAAUAUGAGAUUAAAUUUUGCUACCAAUACAUAUCACUACAAUAUUGAGAUUCAAAAUUUUGAUCUAUUCUAUUAUAGUUGUAAUAAAACGAGUGUAUCAUUAAUUAAUACAAAUGAUAGUUUGGAUAAAGAAAAACAGAAAAUGGCAGAGAGGGUGUAUAAGUAAACAAUAGGGGUUAAACAAUAAAUGGAGAAAUACUCCCUUCCCUUAGCCAGCCCAUUGAAAAAGGAGUUCGCAAACAUCGAAGAAGAACGAACGAGAGGAAUCACUUUCGCAAGGUUGAGAAUUGAAUUGAAUUGAAUUGAGUGAGUGUCCUCGAAAUCGCAAGCAAUAUCUUCAACUCUAUCUAUCUCCAACAAACUCUUCACUCCAACAAAAAUGGCGACGAAGCUUCAAAUAUUUACACAAUUACCCUCCGCACCACUUCAAUCUUCUUCUUCUUCCUCUUCUCUCAGAAAGCCUCUCGCCACUUCCUUCUUCGGCACCAGACCAGGUUCUCUCAUUUUCUCACUUAAUCUCAACGCUUAACGCUUAAUCAAUCAUUAAUCUAACUACUUAAUUCAAUUCUUCCAGCAAACACCGUGAAAUUUAGAGGGAUGAGGAUUGCGAAGCCUGUUCGAGGCGGAGGAGCGAUUGGUGCCGGCAUGAACUUAUUUGAAAGAUUUACGAGAGUCGUGAAGGUGAAAGAAAUUAAUCUACAACAAGUAGUUUUCAGUUUUUUCGAUUUUAGGUUUAAUUUUUCUCAUUUGUGAUUUUAGUAAUGCAGUCAUACGCAAAUGCUAUUGUAAGUUCGUUUGAGGAUCCCGAGAAAAUUUUGGAGCAAGCUGUGCUUGAAAUGAACGAUGAUUUGACUAAAAUGCGCCAAGCUACAGCACAAGUUAGUUACUAUUGAAAUUAUUGUUUCUGUUCUAUCCUUGUGUGUAUUAUCUGUUCUUAUCAUUGUUAUAUAUUGGUUUGAAAUUAUUGUUAUCCUUGUGUAUCAAAAUAAGCUGAAAACAGCUUAUGAACAUAUCAUAAACUGUUUCCAUAAGUUCUCCUAAACAGUUUCAUGUAACUUAUGUCAGUAGAUAAACUCAAAUAAGCCAAUCCAAACAGGCCCUAAAACUAACUUCAAAAUAGCCAGUUAUUUUUAUUGUAAAACCAUCUUAUUGUUGUUUCUUUUUUUCCCUUUCUUGAGGUGUUGGCAUCUCAAAAACGGAUGGAAAAUAAAUACAAGGCUGCAACGCAAGCUUCUGAAGAGUGGUAAUGUAUGAAACAAUUAUUUAUUUUAAUUCGCUUGCAGUGUUUGGCAUUUGAAUACCACUUUUGUGUUUUACACAUCUGAUGUAGGUAUCGUAAAGCACAACUUGCUCUUCAGAAAGGUGAAGAAGAUCUUGCUCGUGAAGCACUUAAGCGGCGUAAAUCUUUUGCAGUACGUCUUUGUUUUGUUCAAUUUUGUGGUUGUUAAUAUUCUUGUAAAUUUCUGCUUUAGAUUUUAAAGAGGAUUGUUUGUUUAUAUUUGCAGUGUGUAAUCAAUAAAGUUAUUAAGCUUUCCAUUUCCUUAUGCAUGUUUGUGAUAUGAUCAGUAGUUCAGUACUUUGUCCUCCUCACAUAGCUUAGCAAUAUCAAGACAUUUGCUGUUUGCAUUUGCUAUAGUUCUCAUUCCUGCGAGCAUUGGUAAAACCUUGAUUGGAACUGUACACCAUGUUCCUAAUUUAAAUAACCUCGUAACCAAAUAUUUAGGUUUGUGAGAGGAAAUGACCAUUAUGGUUGUCAUGUCCUUGGGUCAUUAUGUGGUUUGAUUAGCUGAAGUCAGUUCAGACAUUUAGAUGAUGACAGACCUCACAAUGGUUAACUUUUCUAAAGUGCUGUGAUGUGUACGUUUAUACUCAAGUUAGAUAUUGCUGUAUAUACAACGCUGAUGACAGUGUUGUGAUUGAAAAUUUUGGAAUUUGCUAUAGUUUGACAUCUUGUUGGACGAUACAGAAAAAUGUAUUUUUCAAAGUAGUGCCUUAUCACACAUUUAUCACAUAAUUGGAAAGCUCAUUAUAUGCUUUUAACAUGUUGCAGGAUAAUGCCAGUGCUUUGAAAGCUCAACUUGAUCAGCAAAAGGGUGUAGUUGACAGUCUUGUCUCAAAUACACGGGUAAGCUAAAUCUGUCUCUUUCUCAGUAGAGUCACUGCCUUAAAGCACCUAAAUGCCAUGUUUUUCACAAAACAAUGUUCUUGAAACGUUGGGCUGAAUUGCCGAACUGACUCUUUUUAUGGAGCCACAUAAUGGUGACUCAGUAAUAUCAAUCAAGGAAGUGCAAGUUGAAAGUUCAAUUUAGCUUAACUUUUUGGAUUAGUUGACUCUUGAUUAUGUUGUGGUUGUAUUAUUAAAACCUUACGAGGUCAUAAUUAUAUUUUCAGUUCUUAGAAUGAGUUCACAUUUACUUGAGCUCAUCUUACACUCUCCCCUAGGUUUGUUUUAGUAAUUUUAAUCACCCCUGAUAAUGAACUAUUGUUUGAUCUGCAUUUAUGUAUGGUUUUUUUUUUUUUUUUUUUUUUUUUGAUUUCCAAGUUUUACUUUUAGGGUUGGUUGAUGUAAGAAGCACCUUUCUGCAUUGUGUAGAAAAUUGGGUGUUCAUUCUCAAUCUGUUGAAGUGUAUUGCAACAUUUUAAUGCAAUCUUUUAGAUUAAUCAUUUUUAGGAGGUAUUGUAGAAAUUGCCACACAUUUGGUUGCACGGUGAAAUCCAAAUUCUAGGUAUGAUGCCUUAGGAAGGAACUAUAGGUGUAUUUGAAGCCUAGGCUAUUUUGCUUCUUUUUUUAUCUUCAGCUUCUUUCUUUCAAACUGUCAGGUUUUAAUUGUCUACUUCAAAAGUCUUUAUGUUCCAUCUAUGAUUAUCCCUAGAACCCAUAAACCAUGGUUUUCAAGGGUGCGGUUAUCAUGCAUAAGGAAUCUUUAUGCACCCUGCAUAAAUCCCAGCCCAUUAACCGGUAGCCCAACAUAAUUGCUUCGUACACCCCCAAGCGAAACCAAACAAAACAAAACGAAACAACACCGUCAUUCACCAUCAUCAUCACCGUACCGGAAUCAUCAUCAUCAUCACCAUUCACCGAAACCAUCAUCACCGUACCGGAACCAUCAUCACCAUUCACCGAAACCAUCAUCACCGUACCGGAAUCAUCACCAUUCACCGAAAUCAACUCAAAUAAAUAGUUUAAAAAUUGUAUAUGUUAGUUGGAAAUGGUUUCAGAGUGUUGAUUUGGUUCAAUAGUCACAAAUGUCCUUAUUAUAGUAUGUUUUGUAUAAAAUUAUGCCAAAACCAUUUUGCUGUGGAAAUGGUUUCUGUGAGUUGGACUCCAAAACCAUUUUGUUGUGGAAAUGGUUUCUGUGAGUUGUACUCCUAAACCAUUUUGUUGUGGAAAUGGUUUUUGUGAGUUGUACUCCAAAAUCAUUAGAUGUACUUAAUGGUUUUCUUUAAUCCAGCAGGGUGCAUAUGACAAUCAAAAAUAAAAAACAUAUGGAAUUUUCUAACCAUAACAAAACAUUUUCAAAACAAAGAAAAAACAUAUUGCAUUUUCAAACUUAGUACGUAUCCUCUGUUUCCAAUGGUAAUUUGGUAGAUGAUUACAAUUGAUAUAUCAUGUCAAAGAAUAAACUCCACAAACAUAUCGAAGCUAUUCUGCAAGGUUAAAAAUCCCGCAGCGGUGCCGGCACCGACCAAAGUUAUGACUUAUGAUGCGUUUCUUAGUUUUGGUUAAAGACAUUUGCGUUUUUAGGAGUUAUGGCAGAGACGCGUGGAGAAAGGAAGAAAGUUGCGUUUCUGAUCGGUGAAACAUAUUCCAAAUCUGAUGGUUGUGAAGUGUUUAUGCAGGGUGCAUAAGGAAAUGACUUAUGCAUAAUAACUUUUGCCGGUUUUCAAUGCUUGUAUGUUUUUUCAUUGUAAAAUACAUCAAUUUAUUUACCUCACCUUUAUUUAUGCAACUUUUUCCACCUACACAUACAAUAAUAUUUCUGUCCACUAGGCUUUUGGGAGAAGAAGUAUAUAUGAUAUCCGUUUAGAAACGAUUAAAUUGGUUGAACAAUUUUAGCUCACUGUUCUAAUACAGGCAUUUUUAAUUAGAAGCAGUUCAUAUUUAUUAUUUACCUCAAUUCUGAAUGUAAGCUGUUCAAUUUGUAGCUUUUGGAGAGUAAAAUUCAGGAGGCGAGGUCGAAGAAGGAUACUCUAAAAGCCAGAGCUCAAUCUGCAAAGUUUGUCUUUCAAAUCUUUUAUCCAUUUGCUUCCAUCUUAUUCCAUUCUGUAUUCUAUGGUUCUAUUAGUAAUGUCUUGUUGGUUGACGAUCCUCUAGGACUUCAACCAAGGUGAGUGAGAUGCUGGGAAAUGUCAAUACAAGUGGCGCCCUUUCCGCUUUUGAAAAAAUGGAAGAGAAAGGUGAGAAGAAAACUCACCGAGUCCACUCUCUAUACAUAAAUAGUACUUAUAUCCCAGUCUGCACUUAUUGUUUGAAACAAUUUGUUUGCCCACAAAUGUACUCUUUCAUUUACAUGCCACAGAAAGAUUUGAAGUUCCAUGCUUCCUUUCCUGCUUCUCUUUUUUUUGCUCAUCUAUUUGCCUAUCAGUAUAUAACCAAGCUUUGAAAUCUGGGAGAAAAUCUGACAUCUUGAAGCUUAUAGUGGGUCAAUUUUUUUUGAAUGUUUUCAACUAUUAAGAAAGAUCUAGAGAUUAAUGAGUUGGAUCGAAAUAUGGUUUAUGAUAGAACAUUGUGGUGUAAUUUGAUCCAUGUAGCAGACCCCAUUUAGUGGGAUAAGGCUUGGUUGUUGUUGUUGUUGGAUAUAUUAUUGCACGAUCUUGAGAUUUUUUAUUAGGAUGAACCUAAUGAUUGUCAUAUCAUAAAUUAAUAAGUGUAGUUGCUGUCAUAACAACAAAAGCGAACAUUUCCAAACAUGCUAAAAAUUUUACGGCCCAAUUAAUGGAAUAAAAUACAGGCGAACAUUAGCAUCAGUCUACAUUCCAUGUCCAGCAGAGUUAUGUACCUUAGGUUUUUAUGUGCUUUCAUCAUUGCAUUUGAACUUAUUUUCUAUUAUCUUAAUAGUGAUGACAAUGGAGUCCCAAGCUGAAGCUCUGGGUCAGUUGACAAGUGAUGAUCUUGAAGGGAAGGUAAGUGACUAUUUAUGUACCUAAUGAGUUUGUGUCUAUCUAUGAAUUGUAUUGAGUUUGAAAUUGAAAUGGCAGAAAUGGAAAAGAAAGGAAACCUAGGGGCAUGCUUGGUUUGCAAAAAGUUUAUGUUAUCAUUUCUUUUCUUCACUCUAUCUCUUGUUUCCAAAGUUUUGUAUAAUUGUGAAAACAAAAAUUUGUUUCUUAUACAAAACUUUGAAGUCAAGAAAGAAAGUAAAAACGAUGUGAUAUUUUUGUAAUUAAAAGUAAAAAGAAGAUAUGAAAACAAAAACAGUGACGAAAAUCCAAUACACCCUUGGUUUAUUUUAAUUUAUUUCUUAUGAGAAACGGGAUCAAAGGACCCAAACCUAAUUUUAUAUUUCCUAUGUAAAGAUGUUAUUUAAAAUAGUUGAAAUUAAAAUCAUAAUAUUUACAUAUCUAGGUUUAGUAUGUUUCUCAGGUGGUUUCAUUAAAUACCUGCAAAUGAGAUGUCAAAGUUUUGCGUGAUAAUUGGUUUAAAUUGUUGAUAUUUUGCAGUUUGCAAUGCUUGAGAGCUCAUCCGUUGAUGAUGACCUUGCAAAUUUGAAGAAAGAAUUAUCUGGUAGCUCAAAGGUAUGCUUCAAACAGCAAAUAGAGUGUAUGUAUGAAUAGGAUGAAUUUUUAUAUGUUAAAUAAAGUCUUUCCAACCAGAAGUUGUCUAACCAGUGAAAGAAGGGAGUGAAUAAUAUAUCUUUCCAAAAGUAUUAUAUUAUGCCACAAAAAAGUAAAUUUGAAGAGAAAUUGUCAUACAAUACUACCAACAUUCUACAUAUACUUUUUUGUUUCAUCGUUGGACUGUUUGCUUCAAGCAGAAAGGAGAGCUUCCUCCUGGAAGAAGUAGCACCAGGACUGGAACUCCAUUUCGAGAUGCUGAUAUUGAGACGGAACUUGAGCAACUGAGACAAAGAUCAAAGGAGUUUUAAAGUAUGGAAAUUUUGUCAUUAUUGUAUGCUUGAAUUCAGUACUUUAUUCACAUAUCAACAUUGUACAGCUAAAGGCCAGUCAUGAUAAUAUUAUUUGACUUGUGGCCAAAUUUGGAUAAAAAAAAUGGAACAUAUUAGCUGUGUGUUCUGAUAACUCAAGUUACACUUACAUAUAAACACCUUCGAUCUGAUAAUGUUAUCCUGACAUGCAUACGGUUAGGAUAUUUUCAUGGCAUAAAGCUGUAAAUAUUUUCUUAACAUGUUUUGCAAAGAGCUUGGAUAUAUUACAUUUAGUAACAGACUCAGACCCGCAGGUUUUUGCUGCCUCCUGACUUUGGAUGUAAACAUGUUCAUUGAGGAGCAAGGUUAGCAACACGAUCAAUUAUGUUCAUAAUAUACGAGUGUCUCUUUUGUUAUUUGUGAUCUACGAUACUUACAUUGUAUUUUGAACCGACAUAAAUACGCAGACUCCAUAGCCAGAUUUAUGUGGAGAAUAUAAAGUAUAUUUUGCCAAUCCAAAUAAUGCUUGUUUCCUGUGCAUAUUUUUCAAAUUUUGCUAUACCCUAAGUCGUAAAUCUGCAUGGAUAUGGAAAAGCAGUACUCGGAGCAAGAAGGCUGCACUGGUUUGAAGCUAAUUCUUCAAUGUUUCCGAAUUCAAAUUAUAGGAAAAUUUUCCGUUGCGGUUAGAAAGUAGAAACCAGCAUAUGGACAUUAAAGUCGUUAAUUUAAUCUUCGAUAUUAAUGUUCAUAAUGAUCUAAAAUGAAUUUGAUUUUUUGAAGGAAAUCUAAAAUGAAGAAACUAUAAAACAUAUUUCGGUCUACACUUGUAUAAAUGUAGACUAUUGACUUUUGAAGUUGAAUAAACAUUUGGUAUUCAAUAAUGGGAAGUGGAAGAUAACAUUACAUUACGACUUAAAGGAAUAUUAUGUUGAUUUGCAGACGGCUUUGACAAAUUUUAGUUAUCAGAAUUAGGACGAUGCGAAAUUGAAAUUUUUGGAUUCCGGUGUCAUAGAUAAAGCUAUGAGCAUUUAUUAUCCCACCUUUAUGUUUUUUGUACGCCUUCUAAAUUUUCAAUCGUGAUGUUUGAAAUUGAAUUAUAUAAUUUCAAGCGUGCUUUUAAAUUUUAGAUUAUAUAAACUAGAAUCUAUUACAAUAAUAAAAUCUGUUAUUAAAUUAUCCUGUACCUCAAUGAUAACAUAAUUCAACCGCAACAUAGUUCAACAUCAUAAAUUCAAUGGAGUAAUAUUACAAUAACAAUUGCAACAACAUAAUUAAUCACAAAUCUUAACAAGAUUGUAAUGAACAAAACUAAUUUUUUCAUUGUGUUUGUCCAUGCACGCACUAUUCUUCGCAUGUCUUGGGUUGAACCAAACUUGUUUAAGUAACCUAAACAAGACUUAUCAAUGUAGCGUCUAAUUUGAUCGGUCCUUUGAACUAUACUGGCCAAAUGUAGAGAACACAAUUCUCACAUUGUCGCUUUGAAACGUCAUCUAGGUAAACCAAACGCGUCCAUCUAGACGAAACUCAACAUCAAUCAUCCUUCUUAUAUUGGCGUGGUUGAGACGAUCAUUAAUUUGGUCUAGUUGAUCCUUCAAGUCAGAUGAUGUAUUAUCAUCACAAAUCUUAAACAUAUUGGUCUCCCUCUGUUGUGGUAAACAAUAGGUAGGUUAAUGUUCAUUUCUAAUGGAUAAAUGUUCAUGGUUUAGUGGUAUGGAGUGCAAAUGAACCAAACACAUUAAUUUAUAAAAAGUUUUGUGCGUUGUUAAUCAUAGGAAAAUCAUGUAUAUUUAAUUUACAUGAUUUGAAUUGUACCAAACCCCUUAUCCACACAUUUUUUCUUAGUAUGGGCAUCAAUACAUUGAUAAGUUUCAGAUUCUAUAAACUGAACGAGUAAAAUACUGUUUUGAUUUAUAUAAUUUGAAUCAAUGCACAAAGUUACACAAGAUAUAUAUUUUCUGAACAUAAUAUAACAACAUAACACCAUAUAAUAAAAUAGAUCACAAUAUAAUAAAAUAGAAAACAUAUAACACAUAAUAUUAUCUAAACGUAAUACGUAAGUGUUAGCACAUAAUAUCAUAAAAAAAUGUAAUAUACCUACGAUCAAAUAAAAUUCAUGAGUUAACAUUAAAAAACCAAUUAAACACAAUAUUGAUGAAUUCUCCAAUUCAGAUUCUAUUUUCUGAAGGGCAUCAAAAAACCAGAAGAAGAAACAAUAAUUCAAUCAAACUACAAAUAUUUGAGAAAAUGUGGACUUUACAUCUUGUGUCGUUGCAAGAAAUGUCUCUAGUUUGAAGAAUUCGACCAAGUUUAGUAGAAAAUUGAGACAAUGAGAAGAGAUUUAGAUUUGAAGUGUUUUUAUGGAAGUUUUUAGGUAAAUUUCGAAAAUGUGAAGUGAGCGAAAGUAACCGAGCAUUGCAUAUAUAAUAGUACAAAUCAAAUUAUACAAUCCAAAGCAUGUUUUUAAGUUUUGGAUUAUUUCAUUAAAAUUUGAAUUACGAUCAAUUUAUAUCUAGUAUAAAUCACAUACAACAUCAUUUGAAACAUAUCACAUCAUUAAUUUUUUUUGCUAAAAAUAAGAUAGAGAGAUCAAAAUUAUUAAAUUUUAAAAUAGAGAGUCAAUCAACUCUACAGAAUAAUAAAAAUAGAAGAUCAAAAUUGUAAUAAACCUUUAAAAAAAAAAAAGCAAACACACUUAGGUUUUAGUAAAGUAAAGGUGAGUAGUUUAGUGACUUUAAAACAUGGAAGGAAACUCAAAGACAAAGUUGUGAUUGAAUUCCCCAACAAACUUACAAAUAGGUUAGGUGUAACUACUAACAUUUGUAAGCCUUAAAAAACUAACAUUUGUAUUUGAUUUUUUUCUUCAAAAAAUACAUUUGUAAUUAAUUUCAGAAUAUAAACCAACACAAAGUUUAAGUGAUAAAUUAAUUGCACGUACUACGUAUUUGUUAGGUAACCUAUCAUUUUCACUUUCUCAGACAGAGUCAAGUAUGAAAAAAAGAGUUGGUAGUCAAUUCAAUUUUUCUGACUUGUAAUCGCGACUAUAAACAUUACAUAAAAUCAAACGUACUAUAUUUUCAUCAUUACUUUCCUCAAAAAAAAUUUCAUCAUUACUUUGUUAAUACUAUCAGCCAAAGCUACCCUCCAGAAUUUGCACUUCUGAUAUCAACAUAUUCAACUUUAGACUUUAGCAAACUUUGACAUUUUCAAACGUGGAAACCAUGUAUUAAUCUCUUACCAGGCAAAUGUGCAUCACAUUUUAUAUUAUAUAAGUAAAUAUGUUAUAUUAUCUGGAACCAAAUUGUAUAUAUCAUUUGCAUUUAAAAAAUAAAUAAAAAAGAGUAUACUAACAUUAAAAGUGAAGUAAAAUAAAAUAUUAUUAUUUGGUGCUGCGUGGCAGCUUCCCCAAGUCCUUGGUCAGCACGUAAUUGCUUCAAGUUCAAACUAUUGUCCACUGAAAAAGCAGAUAAGUCCAAAAAGACAAGCACAAAUUUAACACAACUCUUUUCUUUGUCACACUAUAAAUAUGUACCAAACCCUGCUCCCUUACUCCACCACCAAGCCACAAAGCAAUAACAACUCUCCAUAGCUAGCAACCAUACUCUUUUCAAGUUCCCAAAAAUGAGUUAUGUAAAGGCAUGUACCCUUUUGAAUUUGAUCACAAUUGUUAUGAUCUGUUUGGCUAUUUUGAUGAGUGAAAGUCAAAGUAGUAAGGUGGAGGCAAGUAGGGUUUUAAGGAAUUCACAAGAGUUUGCAUUUGCAAGAGCUAAUCACCUUCAAACAUCAGCAUAUGAACAGGCCAAGAACACAAUGACAAUUUGGCUUCAACGUUUGCCUUCUGGACCAAGUCCUAAAGGCCCUGGUCAUUGAUUUAUUAUAUCCAUUAUUCCACUCAAAUACUUGCUCAAAAACAGAUAUGCCUUUAUUUUCCUUAUAGCUACAUAUAUAGCUGAAUUAUUUUAUUCAUUUCUUCGGUUCUUUAAUUUUCUUUAGGUCAAUUUUACUAGAUAGAAAUAUAAAGGAUAUAUGUAGAAAACCUGCGGAUCUAUCUAUCAAAUUCAAAGAGAUCCAUGUGUUUUUGAAAUGUAAGAUUCUUUAAUUUAUGUAACUCAAUUUUUGUUUCACAAGUCUCUAAUCUUUAUGUGUAUUUUGUUCCCUCAUGGUGCACGCACGAAAACCGGUCUACUAUGGUUAGAAUUUUAACAAAGUUAUAAAAUCGGUGGGAAUGACGAUUUUCGUUGCUAAUCAACACAAAUUAUUCAAAAUUUAUUUAUUUGAAUAAGGGAGGAAUUGAGAGAUGGACUUUUAAAAUAUCUUUAAAAUUAAUCUCGAUAGUGGAAAAUCUCCUUUACAAGAUUGCUCAACAACACCGUGUAAAUCACUCUGGAUUCAUAUGUUUACAUAUUUAAUAUUAAAUUCUUUCAAAAAAUAUUUAAUAUUAAAUAAAAGAUAUGAUCAUUAAUUUUGUAAAAGAGCAACGCCUCUACUCAAUUCACAUGAACGAUCAAUCUUAGAGGAGAACGUUGUGCUAGCUCACAACUACAUAGAUGGAUGAACAAGUGAGAUUGUUUUACAAGCUCAACCCUCUUUUCAUUUAAUUAAAUUAACAAUAAUAUAAAAUAUUUAAAUUAAAUGUUAUAAACAAUGAGUAACAUCUAACAACAUCGUUGUGUUGCUACCCAAUUUAUGAAAAAAUUGGUGAUAUGAUUUUAAAUAAAUGAUACUGUUUAACUUGUCAAAA